rnacentral:rRNA from 1 species
GACGAACGCUGGCGGCGUGCUUAACACAUGCAAGUCGAACGGUGAAGCGCCUUCCUUUUUGGUGGGUGUGGAUGAGUGGCGAACGGGUGAGUAACACGUGAGUAACCUGCCCCCUUCUUCUGGAUAACCGCAUGAAAGUGUGGCUAAUACGGGAUAUUCUGGGUCUGUCGCAUGAUGGGUCUGGGAAAGAUAUUGUUUCGGUGGGGGAUGGGCUCGCGGCCUAUCAGCUUGUUGGUGGGGUGAUGGCCUACCAAGGCGGUGACGGGUAGCCGGCCUGAGAGGGUGGACGGUCACACUGGGACUGAGACACGGCACAGACUCCUACGGGAGGCAGCAGUGGGGAAUAUUGCACAAGGGGCGCAAGCCUGAUGCAGCGACGCCGCGUGAGGGAUGGAGGCCUGCGGGUUGUGAACCUCUUUCGCCAGUGAAGCAGGCCUGCCUCGUUUGUGGGUGGGUUGACGGUAGCUGGAUAAGAAGCGCCGGCUAACUACGUG